rnacentral:tRNA from 1 species
AGUUCGGUGGUGUAAUGGAAGCAUCGGAGGCUCCAACCCUCAAGGUGCGGGUUCGAGUCCUGCCCGAACUG